rnacentral:rRNA from 1 species
GACGAACGCUGGCGGCGUGCCUAAUACAUGCAAGUCGAACGCAGUGGGGACGGGUGAGUAACACGUGGGUAACCUCCCAUCAGAGGGGAUAACACUUGGAAACAGGUGCUAAACUGAUACUGAUGGAUGGACCCGCGGUGCAUUAGCUAGUUGGUGAGGUAACGGCUCACAAAGGCCACGAUGCAUAGCUGACCUGUGAGGGGGACCGGCCACACGGGGACUGAGACACGGCCAAGACGCCUACGGGAGGCAGCAGGGGGGAAUCUUGGGCAAUGGACGAAAGUCUGACCGAGAAACGCCGCGUGAGUGAAGAAGGUUAUAGGAUCGUAAAACUCUGUUGUUAGAGCAGCGGUAUCUAACCAGAAAGCCACGGCUAACUACGUGCCAGCAGCCGCGGUAAUUC